GAGGAACACGGGGCAAAGGGGCCUAAGGUUAUCAGAGGAACUCCUUCAAGUAUCAUUAGAAAAUAGCAUUAUUUUAGCUGGUAAUUUUAUAUACUGUAAAAAAUACGGUGAUAAAAUACUCGGGACUGUGCUCACUGUGGUAAGCAGGGGUCAGAGAGGAGGGAGUUCCCACCCACGUGAACAUGCACCAUUAAACCUUGCAGAGAUUGAGCAACUCCCUCGCUCCAUGGCCAGGUGAAUGCUGUACCAGCAGCCUCCCAGCACAGAGGGAACCAGUGCUCCUGGCCCUGUGCAGAAGCAGCGCCAUGCAGAAAAUGAACCAGAUGACACUGACAUUUUCCCCUGGUCAUUCCGCAACUCUUCAGUUUCAUGCUUAUUUUUAAGACAUGUUGAGAAGUGAUGGUCCUCCAGGGCUUUGUGUGCCCUCAGACGUGCGUGUGAGCCCCGCAUGGGCAGGCUGCUGUCUGUGAUUUCCUUUUGGGGAAAAGGAGGGACAACUCUUAUCCCCAUAACAGGUAGGACUACUGCGUGAGUGGGAGGAAAACAGCUCUCUUCCAUGACUACAGCCCAUAAGCAGAUAUUCUAACCAACCUCUGGGCUGUUAUGUGGGGCUUUCAGGCAGAAUUUGAGAAAAUGCAGGGACCUUGAAAAACUUAGUGAUGUCCAAGAGACAGAAUGCCAUAUUGCCGUGAUCAUGACAGACCUACAAAGAAAGCAGACUGACCUCAGACAGCUCCUGGGGUAGCUCCAGCGUUUCAGCCCUCCCCUUGGUGCUUUCUGCACUGCUUGAAAUGAACAGGCUGCUUUCGUGGCACAUUGCUAGCCAAGUCAGCAGCAUCCUUUCCACGCGGAGUCAAGGCGGUUGUUGGUGUAUAUCUGUCAAAACACUGACAGACCUACUGGAACCAGGGCGCCCUUCCCAGCCUUUGACUUGUGACAUCUGAUAAUUUCAUGGUUAUAUUCAGCACUGAACAACUUCCUCCUGACCAUGAAUCAUAUCAAAAGAAGGAUCCCUUUUAAGAAAAGCUUUUCCAAGAGGUCCUUGUCUGGAGGAGUUCUGCACUGAG
rnacentral:lncRNA from 1 species